rnacentral:antisense_RNA from 1 species
CUACCUUAAUUUGAUAAUUUCCUCACAAUUACCAGAUUUCAUUUUUUAAAACAGAGGAGCUAUUUAUCUUUUCAAUGUGAUAAGUAUUCUAUUACAGAACCUUGUUUGCCUUUGUUAGGAGGUGCAGAGAAGAAAACAGUGAUUCAUUUGGCAAUUCUGACAAAAUCCAAAGACGUAUACAAUUACUUCAUUCAUUUAGAAAAUAUUGUAGGAACUAUAAUAUUUUGGACACUAUAUUAAAUAGUAAAGAAAAAUCAAUAAACACGACCUCUGCCCUCAAGAACUUAUAGCCUGUGGAGAUACAUCAAUGAAGCCUUCAAAAAUUUCAAAACAGAAAGCUUAAUCUUUAGAAAUAAAUAGAAUAUGUCUUAAAUAUUAUGCUCGGGAGAAAGAAGUAGGAAUUAUAAAGGUUAACAAAAUUGUUUCAUUGAAACGAUUCUGUAAUUUGGCAACUCACAUUCAGGUCUCUUACUGCUAACCACAGCAUCUAGCAGCAGUCCUGAAAUACUGACACAUUUCAAGACAAUUUUUUACUAACUCUACCAUUUGAAAGAUCAAUAAACACGAAGGUGUUCUUGUGAUGUCUCUUAUUCAAAAAUCAUAUUUCAUCCCAAUGUAGUUCCCAAACAUUUUCAAGUCACAUUUCUAAAUCUUUAAUCUUCCAUAACAUAUCUGGAAUGAAAACAAGCAAAAAGUGGUUUCCGACAGCCAUUGAUAAAAACUGGUGUUGAAGGAUAAGGAAUUCUUUGUGGAGAUGGUAAGAUUACACCUCAGAAGAGAGUACAUGAAGACAUGGUAAAAUUACAAGAGAAUAACAUUAGAAACAAACCUCAGCAAAAUAAUUUGGCUCUAUGACAGGGCUUGAGUUAGAAGUCAAAGAUUAUACAUACUCUAGGAAAGCCCCAAGUUUGAUUCUGAAACAAGAAGGGUAGAAAGUGGAGAUGGGAGCAAAUAAUGUCUGUUAUAAUGACAGAUUACCUAGGAAAUAUUGGCCUAAAACUACUUUUAAAUUCUAACUUUUAGACUGACACAUCCUUUAGAGUUAUCACUAUGAAAAAUGAAACUCUUCAAUAAAUGAUCAACAUAUUUUGCAAAUAUAUUUUGAAGCAUAAGGAACUCCAUAAUUUUAAAAUAUUAACCAAUCUGGUCAAGACUACCUAAUAGUCUUUUUACAGUAUUACUGUUUAUUUUAGAAACUAUUUUUCCUCAUUGUCAAUUAUAUGAGAAGUCACCACAAAAGCAAAAAGGAAAGCUACUUUUAAUUGAAUGGUGAGUGUAAGUAUUUUAGGUUACAUGUACCUAAAUACUAUGCAAUAACAGGAAUUUAUCAUUUAUUUUCCUUCCUUCCAAUACCACUUUCCUCAAAAUAUGCUUCUGCACAAGAUUUCCCCAUAUUGCUACCUAGAAAUCUAACAAUGAAGGGAAAUAUUAUACUUAAACAGAAGAAUGUCAGAAAAGAAUACUGAUCAUGAGAGAAGUAUAAAAAAUAAGUCUGAUUUGGGGGUCAAGAUGAAAACAUUUGUAUUAAAAAAAGGAAAAUAUUUGUAUUAAAAGCCACUUUAAAGCAGACUUUAGGCAAAUUAAACAUGUUGCAUCCUAUGUCACAAAAA